UACGGAGGGUGCAAGCGUUAUCCGGAUUCACUGGGUUUAAAGGGUGCGUAGGUGGGUUGGUAAGUCAGUGGUGAAAUCUCCAGGCUUAACUUGGAAACUGCCAUUGAUACUAUCAAUCUUGAAUACCGUGGAGGUCAGCGGAAUAUGUCAUGUAGCGGUGAAAUGCUUAGAUAUGACAUAGAACACCAAUUGCGAAGGCAGCUCGUUACACGAAUAUUGACUCUGAGGCACGAAAGCGUGGGGAUCAAACAGG
rnacentral:rRNA from 1 species